AUUGAACGAUGGCGGCAGGCCUAACACAUGCAAGUCGAACGAGUGGCGGACGGGUGAGUAAUGUCUGGGAACAUACCUGAUGGAGGGGGAUAACAAAUGGAAACGGUAGCUAAUAACGCAUACCAUCAGAGGUGCCACGAUGGGAUUAGCUAGUGGGGGGGGUAAAGGCUAACCUAGGCGACGAACCCUAGCUGGCCUUAGAGGAUGACCAUCCACACUGGAACUGAGACACGGUCCAGACUCCUACGGGAGGCAGCAGUGGGGAAUAUUGCACAAUGGGCGCAAGCCUGAUGCAGCCAUGCCGCGUGUAUGAAGAAGGCCUUCGGGUUGUAAAGUACUUUCAGCGUGGAGGCGUUACCCGCAGAAGAAGCACCGGCUAACGCCGUGCCAGCAGCCGCGGUAAUAC
rnacentral:rRNA from 1 species